AAGCCAUCUUGAAUUGUUAGCGUGAAAAGAAAUAUAUACUACAUUUAUUGGAUAUUUUAAUAUGAUGAAUAUUCUAGGUAGAGAAUAUGGAUAGUAUUAUCAUUAUUAGUAUUACGUCAACAUUAACUCAACAAUUGUAUUGUUGACAUGAAGAAAAAGCUAUUUCGAGGUUGUUUUGACCAUUGAUUGCUAAUAACACCUGGCGCCGUGACCUGGAUGCAGAUUCUAAGCAGAUGGGCCAAAAUGGGGGCAGCUAGAGUGACUCGCCUGGAACUGACAAGCCUGGAGGGAGCUGGUUGACUGUUCGCGAGAUGGGACAACAGACGAAGAAUAAACGAACCUACUUGAUUUGAUAAACAUUUUUAUGUUUUUCAGUUUCAUCGGAAGACAUUUCCCACCAACCAUCCUGUCUUGAAAGAAAUAACUUUUGAACCCGAUUAUCUGAUAUUUUCCAGUUUCCCCUCACAACAAUUUGCAUCAAACCUCUUGUCUGCUCCUCAGCUGAAAUCAUCAUCUAGCAGUCACAAUAGUUGAGCGGUUGGAGAGGCAUGCAUUGCGUCCUACUACUGCUCAGACUAUAUCAUGUUUGGCAGACAAAACAUGCUGAUCAAAAAGAAUGUGUACCACAGGGGCCAGUGUUUCCAUUUGAGUGAUUGACAAGAAGAAGAAGAGAUGAGAAAUGUUAUCAUCAUAUUUUAGUCCCUACAUUUAUAGUGUACAGCUCAAUGUAUUGAACCGGUGUUGUAGAAUAUAAUUGGAGAUACAUGCGAACAUUAUAAUAUUAUAUAUAAGAUGAUAUUUCAAAAGCAAUACGAAAUAAAAAGUAUAAAAAGGUCAAAACAGUGAACCUUGUGUUUACAGUGGACAGGUUUAAAGUGGAAGUGACUAGUUAACUGUUGAUCAUCAGCUGCACUGAUGGAAAAAAUAGUGGGAAAUUACUAUCUAGAAAACUGUUUAACGUACGACAACAGUUGUGGAACUUCAUAAAUGACCGUAUGUAACAGGGCUGGGCAGUUUUCCUUAUAUAGCUAUA